rnacentral:rRNA from 1 species
AUGGCUCAGGAUGAACGCUGGCGGCGUGCCUAAUACAUGCAAGUCGAACGAGGUAGCAAUACCGAGUGGCGAACGGGUGAGUAACACGUAGGUAACCUGCCCUUAAGCUUGGGAUACCCAGAGGAAACUUGGCUAAUACCGGAUAACAACAGAGAAGGCAUCUUCUUUGCUUGAAAGGCCCCUUCAAGGGUCACUUAAGGAUGGACCUGCGGCGCAUUAGCUAGUUGGUGAGAUAACAGCCCACCAAGGCGAGGAUGCGUAGCCGAACUGAGAGGUUGAUCGGCCACAUUGGAACUGAGACACGGUCCAAACUCCUACGGGAGGCAGCAGUAAGGAGUUUUCGGCAAUGGGGGAAACCCUGACCGAGCAACGCCGCGUGAGCGAUGACGGCCCUAUGGGUUGUUAAAAAGCUCUGUUGUAAGCCAUGAAUGACAGCUUGAGGAAAUGCAAGUUGUUUGACGACAGCUUACCAGAAAGCCACGGCUAACUACGUGCCAGCAGCUGC